rnacentral:lncRNA from 1 species
CAGGUUGACUGGCAUGUCGGACCCCGCAAACUCUGGUUACUGAUAAUGAAGCAUGUGAGACACAGACAGAAAGAAUAUGAAAUGGAGAGAAUACCAACUCAAAAUAUGGAAGCAGCAGGACAACUGAUGAUCUCCCAGAUGAUCAAUGAACAAGGUGACCUUCUUUGUCAACACCAUGAUCAGCUGGCUCAACUGGGGACGGCCAUGGAAGAAAUUCUCCGCAGUCUACAACAUCUCAACAGGGGAGGAUAUUCUAGAGCCAGUCUACCCAACGAGUCAGCACACCAGCCCAUUCAGCAACCCGCUCAGGUUGGUGGUUCCUGGUCCCCUAGCUGAUGCUGUCCCCCACCCCCCGGACAUCAAGUGAGGCCCAGCGUAUGCUGUCAGAUCCUUAUUGGACUCCUGACGUUGUGGGGGUCAACUCCAGUAUCUGGACUGGGAGGGGUAUGGGAGGCGUCUGCUCCUCCCCUCCGGCGUACAACGUCGCCAGAGUACUAACCAGUCAUCAUUACGCACACCUGGCACUCAUCAUUACACACACACCUGUGAAUCAUUAUGACUCACACCUGGACUCCAUUACCUUCAUAAUUUCCUCCCCUUUAUGUCACUCUCCCAUGUGCACUUACCAGUUGGUAUUGUUCUUGUGUCUCGGCGUACGUGUUCGUGUCGUGUUCUUGGUUUUGUUGUUUUAUUAAAAUGUUCACCUGCACCUGCUUCCGACUCACCACCCCAUCAUUACAGAAGGUUUGUACACGUGAUUUCAUGGAAGCCUCUUGAUAAGGAUGCUUGUCUUAAACAAAUAUUACAAUAUUGCGGAAUCUUGCUAAGAG